AUUGAACGCUGGCGGCAGGCCUAACACAUGCAAGUCGAACGAGCGGCGGACGGGUGAGGAAUACAUCAGAAUCUACUCUGUCGAGGGGGAUAACGUAGGGAAACUUAGGCUAAUACCGCAUACGAUUGAAUGAGCCGUUGUCGGAUUAGCUAGUAGGCGGGGUAAAGGCCCACCAAGGCGACGAUCCGUAGCUAGGCGGAGAGGAUGAUACGCCACACUGGAACGGAGACACGGUCCAGACUCCUACGGGAGGCAGCAGUGGGGAAUAUUGGACAAUGGGCGCAAGCCUGAUCCAGCCAUCCCGCGUGGUUGAAGAAGGCUUUCGGGUUGUAAAGCACUUUUGUUGGGGAAGCGGUACCCAAAGAAAAAGCACCGGCUAACUUCGUGCCAGCAGCCGCGGUAAUAC
rnacentral:rRNA from 1 species